CGGGAUACAGGAUCGAUUGGGAUACUCAUCAAUUUUUUUCUGAAAACCGAGAAAGCUUCGCUCUUCAAUGGCGGGCCACGCCCUUCGGGGUAACCUUUGUGUCGGUGGAUUACAAAGAGGAGCGGGCGCUCAAAACCUUUAUACUCGGAGUUUCAUCACAUCUCCUCCCGGCUUUUUUA
rfam:Bacteroides sp. 43_108 Ley3_66761_scaffold_467, whole genome shotgun sequence.